GAUGAACGCUGGCGGCGUGCCUAAUACAUGCAAGUCGAGCGGACAGACGAGGCUCGUGCUCCUCUGACGUGAGCGGCGGACGGGUAAUGAACACGUGGCUAACCUACCUAUGGGACUGGGAUAACUUCGGGGAAGCUGAUCUAACACCGGUUAAGAUAUUGAACGGGGGGGUUCUAUGGUGAAAGACGUUUUUGCUGUGACUUAUUGAUGGUACCGCGUCGCAUUAGUUAGUUGGUAAGGUAACGGCCUACCAAGGCAACGAUGCGUGGCUGACCUGAGAGGGUGAUCGGCCACACUGGAACUGAGACACGGUCCAGACUCCUACGGGAGGCAGCAGUAGGGAAUCUUCCGCAAAGGGCGAAAGCCUGACGGAGCAACGCCGCGUGAGUGAUGAAGGUCUUCGGAUCGUAAAACUCUGUUAUUAGGGAAGAACAAAUGUGUAAGUAACUAUGCACGUCUUGACGGUACCAAAACAGAAAGCCCCGGCUAACUACGUG
rnacentral:rRNA from 1 species